AGCUUUGCACAGUGGCAGUAUCAUAGCCAAUGAGGUUUAUCCGAGGUGUGAUUAUUGCUAUUUAUUUAUUUUCAAAACACCAAACUAUAUUUACUAUUUAUAGUAGUAAAGGACU
rnacentral:snRNA from 1 species